AUGAGCCGACGGUCAACAGAGCGCCUCGGCCCCGUCUCGUCCCCGCUUCUCCCCGCGGACCACGUCUUAAACUCGGGAGCAGUUCUCUUCCCCGGUGCUUUCGAUCAACAUGGCUGUCCCCUGGUCGUGUUCCCAGCGGACGGUCUCGACAAACUCGCCACGGAGCUCAAUAAAGCCGAGGUGGUCGACUUCAUCAACUAUUUUCUGAUUCUGCAUAAUAAAAAACAGGACCGAGACAGCCUGGUCUCCGUCGUGGCGGAUUUGAGGCAGGCACCUCUCUCUGCCGCAAGAAUCAUAGCGGAAACACUGCUCCUCCUUCAGACUGCCAGCACGGUCCACACGGCCUACCUCGUCCUACCGAUUAAGAAAGACGUCUUGAAGACGUUGCAGAAAAGCAUCGCUCCCUCAAAACCCCACAACACCGCCUUCAAGAAAGUUCUGCUGAAGGACGUUGCUGAACUCUCCAACUACAUCGACCGGAGCCAGCUGCCACCCUGUUUAGGAGGCUACUUCAUGUACCAUCACCCGAGCUGGGUAGCCUUCAUCAAGGAGAUAGACCUGUUCCUGCAGGAGUUCCUCUCUGUGGUGCAGCGUCUUCCCACCUGUAUCUCCACCCUCCAGUCCAUCUCCAGGCUCCCCAUCCCAGAGGACCUCCACCUGCUCACAGACUUCUGCUCCGCCAACCAGAACCUGUUCCUCCGUCUCAGAAGGUCAGGGUGCAGCAAUUCACUCUUGCAUUUGUUUUCACAUCCUAUGUGUUUGAUGUGCUGAUGCUUAUUUUAUUGGCUGGUUAUGA
rnacentral:lncRNA from 1 species